rnacentral:rRNA from 1 species
GGUAUGCUUAACACAUGCAAGUCGAACGGUAGCAGCUCUAGCUUGCUAGAGGCUGACGAGUGGCGGACGGGUGAGUAAAGCGUAGGAAUCUGCCCAUCAGAAGAGGACAACUCGGGGAAACUCGGGCUAAUACUGUAUAUUACUCUACGGAGGAAAGUGAGGGACCUUCAAGGCCUCACGCUGAUGGAUGAGCCUGCGUCGGAUUAGCUAGUUGGUAGGGUAAAGGCCUACCAAGGCGACGAUCCGUAGCUGUUCUGAGAGGAAGAUCAGCCACACUGGGACUGAGACACGGCCCAGACUCCUACGGGAGGCAGCAGUGGGGAAUAUUGCACAAUGGGCGCAAGCCUGAUGCAGCCAUGCCGCGUGUGUGAAGAAGGCCUUAGGGUUGUAAAGCACUUUCAGCAGUGAGGAAAGGGGUGUCGUUAAUAGCGCCAUCCUGUGACGUUAACUGCAGAAGAAGGACCGGCUAACUCCGUG